CUUACGAGGCCCCUGGUUUGCCUGCCUCCUGGCUGACAGGCUCAGCUAUCCCAGCCCCCAGCUGGGGCUGCCCGUGGGUCUCACCUCCCCAGCCUGCAUUAGGAAGGAAGGACGGAGACCUACGUUCUGCAGAGCUGGUUGCCCAGGGCGGGCUGCGACCACAACCAGACUGCCAGCUCCUUGAUGAGUUAGGAGAGAGACACCCAGAGACAGAGGCAGAGGGAUCUCUCUCCAGGUGGUUACAGAAAAAGUUUGCAGAGCCUUGCCCUGGAGGAUGGUGUGGACACAAGAUGGAGAGAACCAGCGUCUCUGAAUCCUUAAGGGGAGGAAAUUUGUUUGCCAGCCAGGAACACCCACUCACCCUGGACUCUUAGUGUGGAAUCUGCAGUGCCCAGCAGAGUGGUGGACAACACGUGGGCUUUGACAGGAGAAGGAAACGGCAUUGCUUUGCUGGAAACCCGUGAGGAGUCCAUUUGGCCACUUAAUGAGGUGCAGUUAUCCCAGAGGAGCGGCAUGGAUGGACAGACGCAGUGAAAGCUGGUCUCCAGUCCCAGCUCCUAAAAGGCCUGGCCCAUGUACCACCUCCUCCGUGAAGCCUUCUUGGAUUGCACCAGUCUGCACUACUGUCCCUGGACCAAGCCUGCACAGCCUCUUUAGGCUCUCCCAAAGGAUGGAUCUUCAUUCCCUUCCUCUGUUGGCUGUGUUCCCUGAGCAGACCCCUGCCUACCACCCCUCAGAGAUCAGAGCUGAGCAAGAGACAGGAUCCCACAGCCCAGACUCCUAGGUGCUCAGAUCUUCCCUGGAGAUGCCACUUGGGAUGUGGAGGAAUAACAGGAAGGCGCCUCAGAAGAAGGAAAGAGGCAGGACCGUUAUUACCAGCCACACCAAGGUCGGCAGAAACUGUAAGACGACCCACUGAGACCCUGGGUGGGGUUGCCCGAGAGCAGGAAAGCCCAAAAGCCCUGGCUGCCUCCUCGCCUCACCUCCUGGUCCAGCCUCCCCUGUGUGGCCUCACCUCCUGACACGCACCUCGUGAGCCUGCGCAGGUGCGUCUUGGCAAAUCUCAGGGAGGAGCAUGUCUGGCCCCUGCCCUGGGGCAACUCACAGUCUGGUUGGGAGGACUGUGACCCGGGCAAAAAGAACAGUUCCAUAGGCUGUGGCCCUGAUUUGGAGCCCCCUGUGCGCCAAGAAGAGGCAGUUCUAGGCGGCUGGGGCCCCAGGGGAGACUUCCUGGAGGAGACGGUGUUUGCACCGACUUGUGAGACUUUGGCAGACGCUGAGGCCAGAACCCAAUCCUGAAAAGAGAUUCAUCAAAACCUGGCAAAACUACCCAAAGCCUCUUCUGGAUAUGACUUUACUUCAGACACAAUAUUUUGAUCGUUUCCACAUAAGAUGGAUCAGAAACAUAUGCAUUAAUUUCCUCUUAAAAGUAUACACUCGCUGUACUUGGCAAAACGCAGUGCGGGAUUCGAUGAGCGUAAGGCAACCGAAGAAUUGUAUGGGAUCCAAGGCUGGGAGGUCUCAGAAGCCAGAGCGUCUUUCGGCCUGUUUCUGGAGGCUUCUUCUCCAACUCACUUGCAGGGGCCUCAGAAGCCGAAAGUUGAAGUCCAAGAUCAGGCCAGAUCUCAAUGCACUCCUUCUACAGAGGGUCUGACACCAGCUGGCCCCAUCCUGGAGCUGAUUUCCUGAAAGAAGCACAGGCUCCGGACGUGCAGGCUUAGCGGCCAUGGCUCACGGGCCCAGCCGCUCCGCGGCAUGUGGGAUCUUCCUGGACCGGGGCACGAACCCAUGUCCCCUGCAUCGGUAGGCGGACUCUCAACCACUGCGCCACCAGGGAAGCCCCGUCUUCUCACAUUCUUACUCUGAUGAAUCAAGCCUUACGGAGAAGCUCACAUGGCAAGGAGCCAAGCGUGGCCUCUGGCCAACAGCCAGUGAGAAAUGGAGGUCCUCGGUCCAACAGCCCGUGGGAAACUGAAUUCUGCCAAUGACGACAUGAAGGAGCUUGGAACUGAGUCCUGUCCCAGCUGAACCCUCAGAUGAGGCUGCAGCCCAGCCAACUUCUUGGGUGCAGCCUCAUGAGAGUCCUUGAGUGGGAGGACCCCGUUAAGCGGUGCCCGGAUUCCUGACCCAGAGGAACUCUUAGUUAAUGAAUGUUUCUUUAAAGUUGUGGCUCUAAGCUAUGCCUAAAUUUGGUGGUAAUUUGUCACCUGCUGAUAGAUAAUGGAUACAGUGAGCUUUAGACUCUGUAAGGCUGCUGGGUCAAGGAGCUCCAGGCUGCCUCGGAGGCAGACCCUCCUUGCUCUGUCUCUGCAUCUCUCACCCUUGCGCCAUCUCAUAGAGAGAAAGGCUCUACCUCACCUAACUUGGGAAGUGGGGCUGGGGGAGAAACCUUCCUCAUUUCCUGCCUGAGCCAGGGCAUGGGAGUCGGUCCAGGGAGGAUAUCCCCUCCAUCCUUCCCUCUCUUGCCACCCAUCCAAACACUCUCCCUCUUCUGUUGCUCUCAGGAGAAAAAGGAAGGGUGAAUCGGGUGUUCUGUGUGCUACACCUCGGAGCCUCCAAUAGAAAGGAGGUUUUUAUUUAGAAGAAAAAAGUUUUGCUAGAGGUUUAAUGAUUAACUUUAAGGAAUGAGCUGCAGAUCUGGAGGAGGUAGAGAAGCUACCUGUCCCAAGGCAAACAAGAAUGGCGUCCAUCGGCAGUGGAGGCUCCCAUGGGGAGCAGAGGUGGGGAUGACACCAUUAGACCAUUUACCUGAACAUCCAGGGAAGAGCUUUUGACAAGAAUCCUGCCAAUUUGUCUCCUGUUCUUCUCUAUGAGUCAGGAGCAGAUGGGUGACUGAGAACUUAUGUAACAGUUCAAAACAACUCUCCAGUGGCAUUUGGGGGCUGCCAUAUUUCUUCACUUUUUUUUACCUCUGGCACUGAAUGCUUAUAGAUCAACCCAGUCCCCAAGCGUCUCAACAAACAGGGGAUGGAAAAAUUCACCAAGUGUCUCAGCAACGUCUCCUCAGCUCACAAAUACGAAGAAAAAGGUAUUAUUUUCCAGGAAGAUGUUACUUUCCUGGAAACUUUACAAGCCAGGCGAUUUAAGAUUUUCAUGCGUCCUCCUUCCUUCCACUAAUGUUUCCUGUGCCUCUUGCAUAUCAGGUCAUGGGCUAAGGGCUGAGGUUACAAAGAUAGAUACUGUUCCUGUCUUCACUGGUUUAAAAGCCAGUGAAAAAAUACAUAAAUAUAGCCUUUCAAGUGAACGAAAAAAUGUUGGUGAAUUGAUCAUCAAAUUAAAAAAAAAGAAUGGAAGGAAUAAACAAAAAUCAUUUGAUGUUAAGAGGAUUUUAUUUCUCCUCUUUUCCAUUUUGGAGGAGACCUGACGAAGACUGGCUUCUCAGGCAUCCAGGCUCUUGUCACUUGUAGUGGUCAGGAUGCUGGCAUGUGAUUCAAAGGGGCAGCUGUUUGUCAGCAACUGGAGCGCACACCUGCACAAACACAUAUACAUAAACACACAGACUGCUGGGCUCCGGUCCACCAAAGAUGCCUAUCUAUUAACAUCUUGGAGGAGCAGGGCCUUUCUGUUGCCUCGGGUGCUGGUAACUUAGGAUGAAAACUCUGGGCUCCUAUCUUGUGCCAAUUACGGUGCCUCUCUUUAACCCCGGUCCUUUGAAAAGUGCUGCUCUGAGCAGGUUUUCAAGUACUGGGGGUGCUUGAUAAAUGGCCCUUAACAUUGAACUCAGGUGUCCACCAAAAAGCAUCUUGGCAAAGAAUUAGCAGUGAAACGAAUGGAGUCGCUUCCAAAUGAGCUGGACGUGCACACGUGCCUCAUGUUCAGCAACUUGUUGAAGAGUGAUGGGGACGCCGUACAGGGGCAGUCAGGUGGUUCUGGGGAGGGAGCCCACAUUCCGGCCCUAGUUCCCCCACCCAUUCUCACAGCCUAACCUCGUAGGAAACCCGUUCCCAUUCCCAGUCUCAUUUUUUCUUAUCUGUAAAAUAAAGGAUUUGAACUUUGGGCAA